UUGAACUGAAGAGUUUGAUCAUGGCUCAGAUUGAACGCUGGCGGCAGGCCUAACACAUGCAAGUCGAGCGGCAGCACGGGUACUUGUACCUGGUGGCGAGCGGCGGACGGGUGAGUAAUGCCUAGGAAUCUGCCUAGUAGUGGGGGAUAACGUCCGGAAACGGGCGCUAAUACCGCAUACGUCCUACGGGAGAAAGUGGGGGAUCUUCGGACCUCACGCUAUUAGAUGAGCCUAGGUCGGAUUAGCUAGUUGGUGAGGUAAUGGCUCACCAAGGCGACGAUCCGUAACUGGUCUGAGAGGAUGAUCAGUCACACUGGAACUGAGACACGGUCCAGACUCCUACGGGAGGCAGCAGUGGGGAAUAUUGGACAAUGGGCGAAAGCCUGAUCCAGCCAUGCCGCGUGUGUGAAGAAGGUCUUCGGAUUGUAAAGCACUUUAAGUUGGGAGGAAGGGCAGUUACCUAAUACGUGAUUGUUUUGACGUUACCGACAGAAUAAGCACCGGCUAACUCUGUGCCAGCAGCCGCGGUAAUACAGAGGGUGCAAGCGUUAAUCGGAAUUACUGGGCGUAAAGCGCGCGUAGGUGGUUUGUUAAGUUGGAUGUGAAAGCCCCGGGCUCAACCUGGGAACUGCAUCCAAAACUGGCAAGCUAGAGUAUGGUAGAGGGUGGUGGAAUUUCCUGUGUAGCGGUGAAAUGCGUAGAUAUAGGAAGGAACACCAGUGGCGAAGGCGACCACC
rnacentral:rRNA from 1 species